CUGCUCUUGUUUUGUCACAUUUAACGUGAUGGUUUUUCGCCUUUUACUAAAGACCACCGUGGGGCAAAACAAUUAACGGGAGCUUUUAUACAAAUUUUUGUAUGGCCCAAACUUAUGUUUGGGCU
rfam:Euroglyphus maynei isolate Arlian Lab scaffold19402, whole genome shotgun sequence.